CACGCCCUACGUCGGGUUAAGUGGGGUCCCUCGCCAGCUCCGCACUGAUCAUACGCCAUGUGGCACUCUGGCGCGUGGCCGGGCCUGUGUGCGCUGAGGCUGCUGAGUGGCGGACAUGCACACCACAGAGCGUGGCGAUGGAACAGUAACUGGGCUUGUGAGAGGGCUCUACAGUAUCAACUAGGAGACAAGAUCCACGGAUUCACUGUAAACCAGUGACAUCUGUUCCCGAGCUGUUCCUGACGGCAGUGAAGCUCAGCCAUGAUGACACAGGAGCCAGGUAUUUACACCUGGCCAGAGAAGACACGAAUAAUCUGUUCGAGUACAUGGUACAUUUUAGGAACAUGGUCUUGAAUGUUUUAUUUAAAUCAGGGAUGUCCAAUCUUUUGGCUUCCCUGUGCCACAAUGGAAGAACAGCUGUCUUAGGCCACACAUAAAAUACACCAACACUAAGGACAGUUGGUGAGUUAAAAUUAUAAAUAAAGGACCUCAAUGUUUUAAGAAAGUGUAGGGAUUGCGUUGGGCUGCAUUCCAGGUCGUCCUGAGCAUGCGGACUGCAGGCUGUGGGUUAGAUAAGCUUGAUGUAAAGCACUGACUGUACAUUACGUGGUUAAAAUACCAUCUCACUAGUAUUUUUAUUGACAGAGCAUCUUGAAAAAUAAGGAAAAGCUUACACGGACUUACAGUCUCAUCAAAAUACAAUUUUAUAGUCUGAAUCAAUGAUUUACAUUAGAGUUGGGAAACUGUGUGUCAGAGGAUUGUGGUGUCAGAAUGAUGAUUUCUAGUAGCCUGAGGUGAUGAUGCAUCUGGGAACUGUGUCC